rnacentral:rRNA from 1 species
CCUACGGGUCGCAGCAGUGGGGAAUAUUGGACAAUGGGCGAAAGCCUGAUCCAGCCAUGCCGCGUGUGUGAAGAAGGCCUUCGGGUUGUAAAGCACUUUCAGUGGGGAAGAAAGCCUUGGGGCUAAUACCCUCGAGGAAGGACAUCACCCACAGAAGAAGCACCGGCUAACUCCGUGCCAGCAGCCGCGGUAAUACGGAGGGUGCGAGCGUUAAUCGGAAUUACUGGGCGUAAAGCGCGCGUAGGCGGUCUGAUAAGCCGGUUGUGAAAGCCCCGGGCUCAACCUGGGAACGGCAUCCGGAACUGUCAGGCUAGAGUGCAUGAGAGGAAGGUAGAAUUCCCGGUGUAGCGGUGAAAUGCGUAGAGAUCGGGAGGAAUACCAGUGGCGAAGGCAGCCUUCUGGACUGACACUGACGCUGAGGUGCGAAAGCGUGGGUAGCAAACAGGAUUAGAUACCCGUGUAGUC